rnacentral:rRNA from 1 species
AUUGAACGCUGGCGGCAGGCCUAACACAUGCAAGUCGGGCGGAUGAAGGGAGCUUGCUCCUGGAUUCAGCGGCGGACGGGUGAGUAAUGCCUAGGAAUCUGCCUGGUAGUGGGGGAUAACGUCCGGAAACGGGCGCUAAUACCGCAUACGUCCUGAGGGAGAAAGUGGGGGAUCUUCGGACCUCACGCUAUCAGAUGAGCCUAGGUCGGAUUAGCUAGUUGGUGGGGUAAAGGCCUACCAAGGCGACGAUCCGUAACUGGUCUGAGAGGAUGAUCAGUCACACUGGAACUGAGACACGGUCCAGACUCCUACGGGAGGCAGCAGUGGGGAAUAUUGGACAAUGGGCGAAAGCCUGAUCCAGCCAUGCCGCGUGUGUGAAGAAGGUCUUCGGAUUGUAAAGCACUUUAAGUUGGGGGGAAGGGCAGUAAGUUAAUACCUUGCUGUUUUGACGUUACCAACAGAAUAAGCACCGGCUAACUUCGUG